rnacentral:rRNA from 1 species
AAACCUUUAACGGAGAGUUUGAUCCUGGCUCAGGAUGAACGCUGGCGGCAUGCCUAAUACA